CGAAUCCAAGCUCAUAAUACUAACUCCCAUUUUAGAAGACGUUGCAGCAUUAGUUAUCGACAAUGGUUCCGGUAUGUGUAAGGCCGGAUACGCCGGAGA
rnacentral:misc_RNA from 1 species